ensembl:snoRNA SNORA63 Small nucleolar RNA SNORA63
AUGCAGGUACAGUUAGAAUAUAACUGAAGUGUUUUAUUGUCGUUCUCCCUGCUUACAGCAUUUGAUGCAUUACUAUAUCUGCCUAGCUCUACCAUAGUAAGACAGAUGCUUGGUUUCAAACAU